rnacentral:rRNA from 1 species
AACGAACGCUGGCGGCAGGCCUAACACAUGCAAGUCGAGCGCCCAGCAAUGGGAGCGGCGGACGGGUGAGUAACACGUGGGAAUAUGCCUUUCGGUUCGGCACAACUCAGGGAAACUUGAGCUAAUUCCGGAUACGCCCUUACGGGAAAGAUUUAUCGCCGAAAGAUUAGCCCGCGUUGGAUUAGCUAGUUGGUGAGGUAACGG